rnacentral:tRNA from 2 species
GGGCGAUUAGCUCAGCUGGUUCAGAGCAUCUGCCUUACAAGCAGAGGGUCGGCGGUUCGAAUCCGUCAUCGCCCA